GGCCCGCUGGUGAGGGCAACCCCAGUUGAGCGUAGAGCAGGAGGACAGGGGUGUCUCCAUUUCCAAGGGACCUUUACACUCGGACCCUUACGUGAGAGAAGACUGGACUCCUGUCUCACGGUAUUUUUCCAAACUGAAUAUCACACAGUACGCUGGAUUCUCCCCAAAGGAAUCUCAGCAUCAUGCUUUGAGGCCAGCAAGCAAAAGCUGUCGUUUGGGACUGAGUGACUGAGAGGCUCAUGGGACAAGGAAAUAGACAACAUAGUUGAUGGUGCUGGAAAAAGACGUCAUGGGCAACAUUCCCGUCGUUGGCUUAUUCUCCAAACAGCCCCCACUUGUAUUUUGCUAAUCUCUCUCG